rnacentral:lncRNA from 1 species
GAAUUAACGAAUGUGAGGUCUCUUUAGCUCCUCCCCGGGAAGCCUUUCCUAAUCUUCCCCAAGCGGCUAGGGCUCACACCUUCCUCAAGGGUUGAGGCACUUCCUUAUCUGGGAACCCCACACUAAUCCACCAGGAAGCGCCUUUGCGGAAGGGAAGGUGGUUGCAUUCUGUUUAUCAGCAGCAUAUGGAGCCACUAGCUCCGGAAUGUUUGAUGGACUUCCGAGUGAAAGGCGGUCGGGACACCAAUUCAAUCCACUAUACUGCCUGUGGGCUGCAAGCACGGGAUUGGGGGGGGGGGGUGCGGGGGCAUAACAGUGAGAGCCAAGAAGCCCAGGGUUCAAGACCUGCACCUGCUUCUGACCCGCACUGGCCGCAGGACCCACUUCGCUCUCAGGGCCCUAGGCAACUCUUGCGGAAAUAUACAACGGAGAAGGGUCCUCCCUGCGCCAGCGGAGAGAGUUUCCUCGCCCGAGAGCUACAGAAAGGAAUCACACAACGAAAACUCCCCGGGAAGUUGCCACUCAUUUACAUCAGUGAAACUUCUGCAUCAGCCGCGUCAUCGGGGCCGUCAUUUCUGCUGUCCACAAUUCACAACUGAGAGAUGUGUGCAGAGAACAUGAGAACCUGCUGUUCUGUUGAUAUGAAAAAGCACUAGACUCAAUAAAAACAAGGCUUUUUUUUUUUCUAACA